GAUGAACGCUGGCGGCGUGCCUAAUACAUGCAAGUCGAGCGAACAGAUAAGGAGCUUGCUCCUUUGACGUUAGCGGCGGACGGGUGAGUAACACGUGGGUAACCUACCUAUAAGACUGGGAUAACUUCGGGAAACCGGAGCUAAUACCGGAUAAUAUUUCGAACCGCAUGGUUCGAUAGUGAAAGAUGGUUUUGCUAUCACUUAUAGAUGGACCCGCGCCGUAUUAGCUAGUUGGUAAGGUAACGGCUUACCAAGGCGACGAUACGUAGCCGACCUGAGAGUGUGAUCGGCCACACUGGAACUGAGACACGGUCCAGACUCCUACGGGAGGCAGCAGUAGGGAAUCUUCCGCAAUGGGCGAAAGCCUGACGGAGCAACGCCGCGUGAGUGAUGAAGGUCUUCGGAUCGUAAAACUCUGUUAUUAGGGAAGAACAUACGUGUAAGUAACUGUGCACGUCUUGACGGUACCUAAUCAGAAAGCCACGGCUAACUACGUG
rnacentral:rRNA from 1 species